rnacentral:rRNA from 1 species
UCAGGGACGAACGCUGGCGGCGUGCUUCAUACAUGCAAGUCGAACGAGAAAUUCACUUCGGUGGAUGGAAAGUGGCGGACGGGUGAGUAAUGUGUAGAGAAUCUGCCCUAGAGUGGGGGACAACAGUUGGAAACGACUGCUAAUACCCCAUAUGCGCGUAGUUGAGAUACUAUUCGUGAAAACUCCGGUGCUCUGGGAUGAGUCUGCAUCUGAUUAGCUAGUUGGGGGUGUAAUGGACCACCAAGGCGACGAUCAGUAGCUGGUUUGAGAGGAUGAUCAGCCACAAUGGGACUGAGACACGGCCCAUACUCCUACGGGAGGCAGCAGUAGGGAAUUUUGCGCAAUGGGGGAAACCCUGAACCGCAGCAACGCCGCGUGACCGAUUAAGCCCUUCGGGGUGUAAAGGUCUGUCAGUGGGGACGAAACCUGACGGUACCCACAGAGGAAGCAUCGGCUAACUCCGUGCCAGCAGCUGC